UGUCUUCUUUGGAGAAUUGUCUGUUUAGAUCUUCUGCCCAUUUCUGGAUGGGGUUGUUUGUUUUUUUGGUAUUGAGCUGCAGUAGGUGUUUAUAAAUUUUGGAGAUGAAUCCCUUGUCAGUCGAUUCACUUGCAAAAUUUUCUCCCAUUCUGUGGGUUUUCUUUUCAUUUUAUUUAGGGUUUCCUAUGCUCUGCAGAAACUUUGAAGUUUAAUUAAGUCCCAUUUGUUUAUUUUUGUUUUUAUUGUCAUUACUCUAGGAGGUGGAUCUGAGAAGAUAUUAAUGUGGUUUAUGUCAGAGAGUACUUGGCCUAUGUUUUCCUCAAAGCAUUCUACAGUAUCUGUUCUUAUAUCUAGGUCUUUAAUCCGUUUUGAAUUUAUUUUUGUGUAUGGUGUCAGGAAGUAUUCUAAUUUCAUUCUUUUACAUGUGGCUGUCCAGUUUUCCCAGCAUCACUUAUUUAAAGGGCUUUCUUUAUCCAUGGUAUAUUUUUGCCUCCUUUGUCAUAGAUUAGUUGACUAUAGGUGAGUGGAUUUAAUUCUUGGCUUUCUGUGUUGUUCCACUGAUAUAUAUUUCUGUCUUUGUGCCAGUACCAUAUGGUUUUGAUGACUGUAUCUUUGUAGUAUAGUCUGAAGUCAGAGAGCCUGAUUCCUCCAGCUCCAUUUUUCUUUCUUAGGAUGGCUUUGGCUAUUCUGGGUCUUUUGUGCUUCCAAACAAAUUUUGAAAUAUUUUGUUCUAGGUCUGUGAAAAAUAUCAGUGGUAAUUUGAUAGGGAUUGCAUUGAGUCUGUAGAUUGCCUUGGAUAGUGUAGUGAUUUUCAUAAUAUUGAUUCUAAAAAUCCAAGGGCAUGGUAUAUCUUUCCAUCUAUUUGUGUCACCUUUAUUUCUUUCAUCAGUGUCUUAUAGUUUCAGAGUACAGGUCUUUUGUCUAUUUAGGUAAGUUUAUUCUUAAGUAUAUUAUUCUUUUUGAUGUGAUGGUAAACAGGAUUGUUCCCUAAUUUCUCUUUCUGAUUUCUCAUUGUUAGUAUAUAGAAAUACAGUUGAUUUCUAUGUAUUAAUUUUGUAUCCUUUGACUUUGCCAAAUUCAUUGAUGAGCUCUAACAAUUUUCUGGUAGAGUCUUUAGGAUUCUCUAGGUAUAGUAUCAUGUCAUCUGCAAACAAUGAUAGUUUUACUUCUUCCUUUCCAAUUUUAAUUCCUUCUAUUCCUUUUUUUCUAUGAUUGCUAUGGCUGGGACUUCCAAAACUAUGUUGAAUAGUAGGUGUGAGAGUGGACAUCCUUGUCUUGUUCCUGACCUCAGUGGGCAUCCUUUCAGCUUUUCACCAUUGAGAAUGAUGUUAGCUCUGUGUUUUUCAUAUACGGCCUUUAUGAUGUUGAGUUAGGUUCCCUAUAUGCCCAUUUUCUGAAGGGUUUUUAUCAGAAAUGGGUGUUGAAUUUUGUCAAAUGCUUUUUCUACUUCUAUUAAGAAGAUCGUAGGAUUUUUAUUUUUCAGUUUGUUAAUAUGGUGUAUCACACUGAUUGAUUUGCAGGUAUUGAAGAAUCCUUGCAUCCCUGGGAUAAAUCCCACUUGAUCAUGAUGUACAAUCCUUUUAAUGUAUUGCUGGAUUCAGUUUGCUAGUAUUUUGUUGAGAAUUUUUGCAUCAAUGUUCAUCAAUGAUAUUGGCCUGUAAUUUUCUUUUUUUGUGGUAUCUUUGUCUGGUUUUGGUAUCAGGGUGAUGGUGGUCUCAAAGAAUGAGUUUCGGAGUGUUCCUUCCUCUGCAUUUUUUUUGGAAUAGUUUCAGAAGCAUAGCUGUUUGCUCUUUUUGAAAUGUUUGAUAGACUUUGCCUGUGAAGCUAUCUGGUCCUGGAAUUUUGAUUGUUGGAAGGUUUUAAAUCACAUUUUCAAUUUCAGUGCUUGUGAUUGGUCCAUUCAUCUUUUCUAUUUUGUCUUGGUUUAGUCUAGGAAGAUUGUACUUUGCUAAGAAUUUGUCCAUUUCUUCUAGGUUUCCCUUUUUAUUGUCAUAUAGUUGCAUGUAGUAUCUCUUAUGAUCCUUUGUAUUUCUGUGAUGUCCAUUGUAACUUCUCCUUUUUCAUUUCUAAUUUUAUUAAUUUGAGUCCUCUUUUUUUUCCUUAUUAAGUCUAGAUAAGAAUUUAUCAAUUUUGUUGAUCUUUUCAAAGAAUCAGCUUUUAGUUUUAUUGAUCUUUUCUAUGGUUUUCUUCAUUUCUGUUUAAUUUAUUUCUGCUCUGAUCUUUAUGAUUUAUUUCUUUCUGCUAACUUUAGAUCUUUUCUGUUUUUUACUCUCUAGUUGCUUUAGAUGUAAAUUUAGGUUAUUUAUUUGAGCUUUUUCUUGUUUCCUGAGGUAGGCUCGUAUUGCUAUAAACUUCCUUCUUGGAAUUGCUUUUGCUGCAUCCCAUAGCUUUUGGAGUGUUGUAUCAUUUUUGUCAUUUGCUUCUAGGUUUUUUUUUUAAUUUCCUCUUUGAUUUCUUCAGUGAUCCAUUGGUUGCUCAGUAGCAUGUUGUUUAGUUUCAACAUGUUUAUGUUUUUGCAAUUUUUUUCUUGUUGUUGAUUCCCAGUUUUAUAGCUUUGUGGUUGGAAAAGAUGCUUGAUAUGAUUUCAGUUUUCUUAAAGUUACUGAGGCUAAUGUGUGGCCCAGAAUGUGAUCAAUCCUAGGGAAUGUUCCAUGUGCACUUGAGAAGAAUGUGUAUUCUGCUGCUUUGGGAUGGAAUGUCCUAUAAAUAUCUGUAAGUCCAUCUGGUCUAAUCCUUCAUUUAGGGCCUGUGUUUCCUUGCUCAUUUUCUGUCUGUAUGAUAUGUCCAUCUGAAAGUGGGGUGUUAAAAUCCCCUCCUAUUGUGUUAUUGUAAAUUUAUCCUUUUAAAGUUGUUGGAAGUUGCCUUAUAUAUUGAGGCAAUCCUAUGUUGGGUGCAUAUGUUUUUACAGUUGUUAUAUCUUCUUCUUGGAUUGAUCCUUUGAUCAUUAUGUAAUGUUCUUCUUUGUAUCUUAUAAUAUUCUUUAUUUUAAGGUCUAGUUUUUCUAGUAUGAGUGUUGCUUCUUCAGCUUUCUUUUGAUUCCUGUUUGAAAGGAAUAUUUUCUUCCAUCCUCUCACUUUCAAUUUGUAUGUAUCCUUAGAAGUGAAGUGGGUCUCUUGAAGACAGCAUAUAUAUGGAUCUUCUUGUUUUAUCCAUUCAGCCAGCAUAUGUCUUUUGGUUGGGGCAUUUAGUCCAUCCAUUUACAUUUAAGGUAAUUAUUGAUAUGUAUGUUCUUAUUGCCAUUUUAUUAAAUGUUUUUGUUGCUCUUUUUUCUUCCUUUCUUAUCUUGUUCUGUCCUCUUGUGGCUUGAUGACUAUCUUCACUGUUCUAUUUGAGUUGAUUUUUCUUAUUUAUGUGUGUAUCAAUUACAGAUUUUUGGUUUGCAGUUACCCUGAAGUUUUAAUAUAGGAGUUUAUUUUAUUUAAUGUAGGAGAUUGUUUUAAGUUGUUGGUCUCUUAAUUGCAAAUGCAUCUCCAGUGUCCUGCAUUUCUGCCCUCCACUUUUCACAGUUUCUGAUUUUGGUAGCAUAUUUGUACAUGGAUGAUUUCCUAGCUUUACCGUAUGUAUGCCUUUACUGGUGAGCCUUGUCAUUUGUGGUAUUUUUGUUUCUAGUUGUGGCCUUUUCUUUUCUGCCUAGAGUAGUUCCUUUAGUAUUUGUUGUAAAGCUGGUUUAGUGUUGCUGAAUUCUCUCAGCUUUUGCUUAUCUGUGAAGGUUUUGAUUUCUCCUUCAAAUCUGAAUGAGAGCCUUGCUGUGUAAAAUAACCUUGGUUGUAGGUUUUUUCCUUUCAUCACUUUAUAUUGAGCAUGCCACUCCCUUCUGGCCUGCAGUGUUUCUGCUGAAAUAUCUGCUGAUAACCUUAUUGGGGUUCCCCUGUAUGUUAUUUUUUUUUUCUUUUCCCUAGCUGCUUUCAAUAUUAUAUCUUUUUAAAUUUUCUUUAUUAUUUUUUUUAGGGCUGCACCCACAGCAUAUGGAGGUUCCCAGACUAGGAUUCAGUUGGAGCUACAGCUGCCAGUCUAUGCCACAACCACAGCAACAUCAGAUCCGAGCUGCAUCUGCAACCUAUACCACAGAUAAUGGCAAUGCCCGAUCCUUAACCCACUGAGCAAGGCCAGUGAUUGAACCCACAACCUCAUGCUUCCUCGUCAGAUUCAUUUCUGCUGUGCCAUGACAGGAACUCCUUUUCAUUUAUUUAUUUUUUUUAUAUUUUCUCUGUCUUUAAUUUUGGUCAGUUUGGUUAAUAUGUGUUUCUGGGUGUUCCUCCUUGGAUUUAUUUUAUAUGGUACUCAUUGUGCUUCCUGGCUUUGAGUGAGUGGUUCCUUUUCCAUGUUAGGGAAGUUUUCAGCUAUUAUCUCUUUGAAUAUAUUUUCUGUCCCUUUCUCUUUCUCUUCUCUUUCUGGAAUCCAUAUAAUACAGAUGUUGGUGUGUUUAACAUUGUCCCAGAGUUCUCUGAGACUGUCUUCAUUUCUUUUCAAUCUUUUUUUCUCUUUUCUGAUCUGCAUCAGUGAUUUCCACUAGUGUGUCCUUCACAUCACUUAUUUGUUCUUCUGCCUCCUGUAUUCUGCUCUUAGCUGCUUCUAAUGCAUUUUUUAUUUCAGUUAUUGUAUUUUGCAUCUCUGCUUGCCUGUUUUAAAUCUUGUAUUUCUUUGCUCAGUGUUUCCUGUAAAUUAUCAAUCUUUGCCUCGAGUUUAUUUCCAAUGUCUUGCAUCAUCUUCAGCAUCAUCAGUUUAAAGUAUUUUUCGUGGGAUCUGAUAAUCUCCAGAUCACUUAACUGCUUUUCUGGUUUUUUUUUUAUUUCUCCCUUAUCUGAGUUAUAGCUAUUUGCCUUUUCAUUUUUAUAGGUUUUUGGUGUGGUCUC
rnacentral:lncRNA from 1 species